CCUGGGGAACCAGGUCUAUACCGCAUAAUCUCUAGGAGUAAAGCGGGGGAUUUCGGUCCUCGCGGCGAUGGAGCGGCCCGUGUCCGAUUAGUUUGACGUCGGGGUAACAGCCCAGCGUGGCUACAAUCGGUAGCUGGUCUGAGAGAAGGAUCAGCCACGCCCGGGACUGAGACUCGGCCCGGACUCCUACGGGAGGCAGCAGUGGGUAAUAUGGACAGAUGGGGGCAACCCUGAUCCAGCGAUGCCGCGUGUGUGAAGAAGGCCUUCGGGUUGUAACGCACUUUCGCGGGGGAAGAAACUUCGCGCUCUCACAUAGCGCGGCACUGACGGUACCCCGAGAAGAAGCGCCGUCUAACUCCGUGCCAGCAGCCGCGGUAAUACGGAGGGCGCAAGCGUUAAUCGGAAUGACUGGGCGUAAAGCGUGCGCAGGCGCCCGCGGAAGUCGGAUGUGAAAGCCCCGGGCUCAACCCGGGAGCUGCGUUCGAAACUCCGCGGCUCGAGUCCGGCAGAGGAAGGUGGAAUUCGCGCGUGUAGCGGUGAAAUGCGUAGAGAUGCGGAAGAACUCUAAUGGCGAGAGGCAUCCUUCUGGGCCGGCACUGACGCUGAGGCAGAGGAGCGUGGGUACUAAACAGGAUUAGAUACCCUG
rnacentral:rRNA from 1 species